rnacentral:rRNA from 1 species
UCCGUAGGGUGCAAGCGUUGUCCGGAAUUAUUGGGCGUAAAGAGCUCGUAGGCGGUUUGUCGCGUCUGGUGUGAAAAUCCAGGGCUUAACCCUGGACCUGCAUCGGGUACGGGCAGACUAGAGUGCGGUAGGGGAGAUCGGAAUUCCUGGUGUAGCGGUGAAAUGCGCAGAUAUCAGGAGGAACACCGGUGGCGAAGGCGGAUCUCUGGGCCGUAACUGACGCUGAGGAGCGAAAGCAUGGGGAGCGAACAGG